rnacentral:rRNA from 1 species
AUUGAACGCUGGCGGCAGGCCUAACACAUGCAAGUCGAGCGGCAGCGGGAAAGCAGCUUGCUACUUUUGCCGGCGAGCGGCGGACGGGUGGGUAAUGCCUGGGAAAUUGCCCAGUCGAGGGGGAUAACAGUUGGAAACGACUGCUAAUACCGCAUACGCCCUACGGGGGAAAGCAGGGGACCUUCGGGCCUUGCGCGAUUGGAUAUGCCCAGGUGGGAUUAGCUAGUUGGUGAGGUAAUGGCUCACCAAGGCGACGAUCCCUAGCUGGUCUGAGAGGAUGAUCAGCCACACUGGAACUGAGACACGGUCCAGACUCCUACGGGAGGCAGCAGUGGGGAAUAUUGCACAAUGGGGGAAACCCUGAUGCAGCCAUGCCGCGUGUGUGAAGAAGGCCUUCGGGUUGUAAAGCACUUUCAGCGAGGAGGAAAGGUUGAUGCCUAAUACGUAUCAACUGUGACGUUACUCGCAGAAGAAGCACCGGCUAACUCCGUGCCAGCCGCCGCCGUAAGAC